rnacentral:lncRNA from 1 species
UUAAAAAAAAAAACUGUACAUUUUAAUGCGUAUUUUUCAGAUAGUUUGUUUAUCAGGGAGGGGGGGGUCACCCACCCAGCCGGAACGUUCUAACCGUGGUCAGAUGUUGCCGAGGUGGACAUUUUACAGGGUGUCGUCAGGUGUGACGCAACACACGAACGUGGACCAGAUGUGGACCGGAUGUGGACUGGAUGUGGACUGGAUGUGGACCGGAUGUGGACCGGAUGUGGACCGGAUGUGGACUGGAUGUGGACCGGUUGUGGACCGGAUGUGGACUGGAUGGGCGCGAGCGUCGGACCACAGCAGAGUUGCCAUUCUCAACCACUCAGCAUCACUAUGUUGCAACAUCGUGCUGAAGGAGAAGCUGCGAGUGUUUGUGGGAGAAUGUUCGGAGCGCGCGAUAAGGGAGCAGCAG